rnacentral:rRNA from 1 species
UCAUGCUAGAAAGAGCAUAUGGUGGAUGCCUUGGCACUAAGAGCCGAUGAAAGACGCGAUAAGCUGCGAAAAGCUUCGGGGAGGGGCAAAUACCCUUUGAUCCGGAGGUGUCUGAAUGGGGAAACCCGCAUGAGGAGCCCUCAUGCAUCCCUGCGCCAAUCCAUAACGCAGGGAGGGGAACCCGGCGAACUGAAACAUCUAAGUAGCCGGAGGAAGAGAAAACAACAAGUGAUUCCGUAAGUAGCGGCGAGCGAACACGGAGGAGCCCAAACCGGGGCGCGUGCGCCCCGGGGUUCGGACCGCGGAAGUGAUUCGGGAAGGCUAGCAGAACGGCUUUGGGAAAGCCGGCCAGAGAGGGUGAAAGCCCCGUAAGCGAAAGCCUGACAGACACGGCGGUAUCCAGAGUACCACGAGACACGAGAAACCUUGUGGGAAGAGGCGGGGACCACCCCGCAAGGCUAAAUACUCCUUAGUGACCGAUAGCGCAUAGUACUGUGAAGGAACGGUGAAAAGAACCCCGGGAGGGGAGUGAAAGAGAACCUGAAACCAUAUGUUUACAAGCUGUGGAAGGGCCUUACGUGCCCAACCGCGUACUUUUUGUAGAACGGUCCGGCGAGUUACGCCGGCUGGCAAGGUUAAGGGCUAAAGGCCCGGAGCCGAAGGGAAACCAAGUCUGAAUAGGGCGAAGGAGUCAGCCGGAGUAGACCCGAAACCGGGUGAUCUAUCCAUGUCCAGGUUGAAGUUGCCGUAAAAGGCAAUGGAGGACCGAACCCACAUCCGUUGAAAAGGGUGGGGAUGAGGUGUGGAUAGGGGAGAAAUUCCAAUCGAACCCGGAGAUAGCUGGUUCUCCUCGAAAUAGCUUUAGGGCUAGCCUCAUACGAGUCUUGCGGAGGUAGAGCACUGAAUUUCCUAGGGGGCGUCAAAGCUUACCGAAGAAUAUCAAACUCCGAAUGCCGCGUAGAUGAUGUAUGGGAGUCAGACUGCACGAGAUAAGUUGGGCAGUCGAAAGGGAAAGAGCCCAGACCUGCGGCUAAGGCCCCAAAAUGUGUGUUAAGUGGAAAAGGAUGUGGGAUUUCGAAGACAACUAGGAUGUUGGCUCAGAAGCAGCCAUGCAUUCAAAGAGUGCGUAAUAGCUCACUAGUCGAGAGGUCCCGCGCCGAAAAUGUCCGGGGCUGAAACACACUGCCGAAGCCCGGGGAUGUACCAAGUACAUCGGUAGAGGAGCAUUGGAUGCGGGAGGAAGCGGCACCGGAAGGAGCCGUGGACCGCAUCGAAGAGAGAAUGCCGGAAUGAGUAGCGAGAGGAAGGUGGGAAUCCUUCCGGCCGAAUAUCCAAGGUUUCCAGAGUAAAGCUGAUCUGCUCUGGGUAAGUCGGGGCCUAAGGCGAGGGCGGGAGCCGUAGCCGAUGGACAACAGGUUGAGAUUCCUGUACCGCGAUAUGACAGAACUGUGGGGACACGCGUGGAAAGCAUAAGCCGGGAAUGGAAAGACCGGCGCAAGCGGGGUAGGGGCUGCAUAGGCAAAUCCGUGCAGCGUAACCCGAAGCCGUGACGCGUACCGAACUGCAAGUAGGGAAGUAUGCGAGCCAUGCGUCAAGAAAAGCCGCUAUCGCUCAUAUCGCGCCCGUACCGCAAACCGACACAGGUAGAUGAGGAGAGAAUCCUAAGGCCGACGGGAGAAGCAUUGUCAAGGAACUCGGCAAAAUGACUCCGUAACUUCGGGAGAAGGAGUGCCAUAGAGAUAUGGCCGCAGAGAAUUGGCCCAAGCAACUGUUUAGCAAAAACACAGGUCUAUGCGAAGCCGCAAGGCGAGGUAUAUGGGCUGACGCCUGCCCGGUGCUGGAAGGUUAAGGGGAGAGGUUAGAGCGAUCGAAGCCUUGAACUUAAGCCCCAGUAAACGGCGGCCGUAACUAUAACGGUCCUAAGGUAGCGAAAUUCCUUGUCGGGUAAGUUCCGACCCGCACGAAGGCGUAAUGAUUUGGGCACUGUCUCGACAAUGCACCCGGUGAAAUUGAAGUACCAGUGAAGAUGCUGGGUUACCCGCGCCAGGACGGAAAGACCCCAUGGAGCUUUACUCCAGCUGAUACUGGGAUCCGGUAUUGCAUGUACAGGAUAGUGGGGAGGCUAGAAGCGAUGACGCAGUCGUCCGAGCGCUGUGGCAUACCACCCUUGCAUGCUGGUUUCUAACAGCAGCGUGAACGGCUGGGGGAACAAGUCAGGCGGGGAA